rnacentral:lncRNA from 1 species
ACUGAGUACCAUGGGCCAGCAUGGCAUUCUGCUGGCAUGGAUGGAGAUGCAGGCUCCUGGCGGUAACCCUGGGAGGUAGGACCCAGCAUGGGACCCAGGACGAAAGGGAGACUCUCCGGGAGACGAAGUGCCCAAGGCCGCCCAGACAGCCAAUGGCAGAUCUCCAGGCUACAAGUUGAGGGUUAGCGCAUCCUCCACCACCCCAAGGGCCAAGCAAAUGGCAUGCAAAUGAGAGCCUGCUGAAGGGAAGGGCCUGCCAGCUGCUCCACAGAUUGCUCCGGCUCCCGUGAUGGGGAUGUUGAAGGUCGUGGGAUUGGCAGCCCAUCAGUCAACAAGCCUGGAACUGAAGGC